AUUGAACGCUGGCGGCAGGCCUAACACAUGCAAGUCGAGCGGAUGAAGGGAGCUUGCUCCUGGAUUCAGCGGCGGACGGGUGAGUAAUGCCUAGGAAUCUGCCUGGUAGUGGGGGAUAACGUCCGGAAACGGGCGCUAAUACCGCAUACGUCCUGAGGGGGAACGUGGGGGAUCUUCGGACCUCACGCUAUCAGAUGAGCCUAGGUCGGAUUAGCUAGUUGGUGGGGUAAAGGCCUACCAAGGCGACGAUCCGUAACUGGUCUGAGAGGAUGAUCAGUCACACUGGAACUGAGACACGGUCCAGACUCCUACGGGAGGCAGCAGUGGGGAAUAUUGGACAAUGGGCGAAAGCCUGAUCCAGCCAUGCCGCGUGUGUGAAGAAGGUCUUCGGAUUGUAAAGCACUUUAAGUUGGGAGGAAGGGCAGUAAGUUAAUACCUUGCUGUUUUGACGUUACCAACAGAAUAAGCACCGGCUAACUUCGUG
rnacentral:rRNA from 1 species